ACGGAAUUUACAUGAAGCCUAGCGAUUGUAAAUUUAGUGGCGGACGGGUGAGUAACGCGUGGGUAACCUGCCUUGUACUGGGGGACAACAGUUGGAAACGACUGCUAAUACCGCAUAAGCGCACAGCUUCGCAUGAAGCAGUGUGAAAAACUCCGGUGGUACAAGAUGGACCCGCGUCUGAUUAGCUGGUUGGUGAGGUAACGGCCCACCAAGGCGACGAUCAGUAGCCGGCCUGAGAGGGCGAACGGCCACAUUGGGACUGAGACACGGCCCAAACUCCUACGGGAGGCGGCAGUGGGGAAUAUUGCACAAUGGGGGAAACCCUGAUGCAGCAACGCCGCGUGAGUGAGGAAGUAUUUCGGUAUGUAAAGCUCUAUCAGCAGGAAAGAAAAUGACGGUACCUGACUAAGAAGCCCCGGCUAACUACGUGCCAGCAGCCGCGGUAAUACGUAGGGGGCAAGCGUUAUCCGGAUUUACUGGGUGUAAAGGGAGCGUAGACGGUUUUGCAAGUCUGAAGUGAAAGCCCGGGGCUUAACCCCGGGACUGCUUUGGAAACUGUAGGACUAGAGUGCAGGAGAGGUAAGUGGAAUUCCUAGUGUAGCGG
rnacentral:rRNA from 1 species